UACGUAGGAGGCAAGCGUUGUUCGGAGUUACUGGGCGUAAAGGGUGUGUAGGCGGUUGCUUAAGUUUGGUGUGAAAUCUCCCGGCUCAACUGGGAGGGUGCGCCGAAUACUGAGUGACUCGAGUGCGGGAGAGGAAAGUGGAAUUCCUGGUGUAGCGGUGAAAUGCGUAGAUAUCAGGAGGAACACCGGUGGUGUAGACGGCUUUCUGGACCGUAACUGACGCUGAAACACGAAAGCGUGGGUAGCAAACAGG
rnacentral:rRNA from 1 species